rnacentral:piRNA from 1 species
UGACAAGCACUUCGGCAUCCUGUACCAC